rnacentral:rRNA from 1 species
UCUGGUUGAUCCUGCCAGGUGCGACCGCUUUUGGAGUUCGAUUAAGCCAUGCGAGUCGAGAGCCUUAGGGGCUCGGCAUACUGCUCAGUAACACGUGGAUAACCUGCCCUAUUGUCUGGAAUAACCUCGGGAAACUGAGAACAAGGCCGGAUAACCCACAAUGCCUGGAACGGUUUGUGGGUGAAGAUAGGAUGGGUCUGCGGCGUAUCAGGUCGUAGGGGGUGUAAUGGACCUCCUAGCCAUCGACGCGUACGGGUUGUGGGAGCAAUAGCCCGGAGAUGGAUUCUGAGACACGAAUCCAGACCCUACGGGGUGCAGCAGGCGCGAAAACUUCACACUGCAGGAAACUGUGAUGAGGGAACUCCAAGUGACUGCACAUUGUGUAGCCUUUUCUUUACUAUUAAUCGGUAUUGGAAUAAGGGCUGGGAAAGACCGGUGCCAGCCGCCGCGGUAAUACCGGCAGCUCGAGUGGUCGUCGCUUUUAUUGGGCCUAAAACGUCCGUAGCCUGUUUGGUAAAUCUGUGGGUAAAUCAACCAGCUUAACUGGUUGAAUUCUGCAGAGACUGCCAGACUAGGGACCGGGAGAGGUGUGGGGUACUCUAGGGGUAGGGGUAAAAUCCUGUCAUCCUUAGAGGACCACCAGUUGCGAAGGCGCCACACUGGAACGGAUCCGACGGUCAGGGACGAAGCCUAGGGGCACGAACCGGAUUAGAUACCCGGGUAGUCCUAGGUGUAAACGCUGUGAACUUGGUGUCGGGAGUCCGCAAUGGGCCCCCGGUGCCGGAGUGAAGAUGUUAAGUUCACUGCCUGGGGAGUACGGUCGCAAGGCUGAAACUUAAAGGAAUUGGCGGGGGAGCACUGCAACGGGAGGAGCGUGCGGUUUAAUUGGAUUCAACGCCGGAAAACUCACCAGGGCCGACUGUUAUAUGAAGACCAGCGUAAUGAGCUUGUCGGAUUUUCAGAGAGGUGGUGCAUGGCCGUCGUCAGUUCGUACUGUAAAGCGUUCUGUUAAGUCAGAUAACGAACGAGACCCUCAUCUCUAUUUGCUACC